GACGUAGGGGGCGAGCGUUGUCCGGAUUUAUUGGGCGUAAAGGGUGCGUAGGCGGCGCGGUAAGUCGGGUGUGAAAUCUCGGGGCUUAACUCCGAAACUGCAUUCGAUACUGCCGUGCUUGAGGACUGGAGAGGAGACUGGAAUUUACGGUGUAGCGGUGAAAUGCGUAGAUAUCGUAAGGAAGACCAGUGGCGAAGGCGGGUCUCUGGACAGUUCCUGACGCUGAGGCACGAAGGCCAGGGGAGCAAACGGG
rnacentral:rRNA from 1 species